rnacentral:tRNA from 1 species
CUGGGGUUGUGACUCAGAGGCAGAGCACUCGCCUAGCAUGCGUGAGACACUGGGUUCAAUCCUCAGACCGCAUA